AACACAUUGCUUAAGCCCAAUACAGAAAUUAGCAAAGUCUGUCAAGGAAAAUCGUUGAGUCCACCAAGUAAAUCCCUAAAUUCUCAUAUCAGUAUAAAUACAACCAUUGCACUGAAAUCAAAAAAGGAAGAAAGUUUUAUUCAGAAAAUCAAAGAAGAUACACAUAAUCUCUUACGUCCAUCAUUUUCUAGAAACAAAAAAAAACCUAAAACAUUCAAUCAUCAUCAUCUUCCACUUAUUCACAAAAACCCUUCAGAAAAAUCAAAGGCCGCAAGUUCAGAAGAAGAUAGAGAACCGAUAUACAAGCCCAAAAUCAAAAAGAUCUUACCAUAA